AUUGAACGCUGGCGGCAGGCCUAACACAUGCAAGUCGAACGGACCCUUCGGGGUUAGUGGCGGACGGGUGAGUAACACGUGGGAACGUGCCUUUAGGUUCGGAAUAGCUCCUGGAAACGGGUGGUAAUGCCGAAUGUGCCCUUCGGGGGAAAGAUUUAUCGCCUUUAGAGCGGCCCGCGUCUGAUUAGCUAGUUGGUGAGGUAAUGGCUCACCAAGGCGACGAUCAGUAGCUGGUCUGAGAGGAUGACCAGCCACAUUGGGACUGAGACACGGCCCAAACUCCUACGGGAGGCAGCAGUGGGGAAUCUUGCGCAAUGGGCGAAAGCCUGACGCAGCCAUGCCGCGUGAAUGAUGAAGGUCUUAGGAUUGUAAAAUUCUUUCACCGGGGACGAUAAUGACGGUACCCGGAGAAGAAGCCCCGGCUAACUUCGUGCCAGCAGCCGCCGUAAUAC
rnacentral:rRNA from 1 species